AAGAAUUAACUUCCUGGUUUCAAGAUAGGAAAAGUUACAAGGAGGGUGAGCAGACGUUGGCACUACACCAGAAAAGAUAUCAAUUAAUUUACUUUGAAAAAUUGGCACUGUGCGGGAACUUUGGUAGAGAAAUCAAAGCAAUCAGAUUGAUUGGAGGAAUUCGUACGAAUCGCACGAGGUGAAGUAUUUGGUAUUUCGGCACGAGUACUAGACAGCAGUUGACACAGGCGAGGAUUUCGUUAAUUAGAGCGCACAGGUUGAUAGUUCUUGGCGAGCCUCGCACUUGUUCGCGUGAACGGAGAUUUUAUUUAUUGUUAUGGUCUAUUCUUUGAAUUCUUAGAGUCUCUCCAUAGUCAUUAUUUUAGUGUCAUGAGUAUUAUUUAUUUAUUAUAGUCUUAUGCUAAGUAUCGUUUUUUAUUAUCAAAGUUGGAGAUAAAUUAGUGUUUCUAGUGGUUAGUUGGUGAUUUAGUUAUGGUGGAGACUUGUAUUAGUUAAUUGGCAAGUUGUCAAUUGUUGGGUAUGA